rnacentral:rRNA from 1 species
GACGUAGGGCGCGAGCGUUGUCCGGAUUUAUUGGGCGUAAAGAGCUCGUAGGCGGUGUGUCACGUCGGCCGUGAAAACCUGCAGCUUAACUGUGGGCGUGCGGUCGAUACGGGCAUCACUGGAGUUCGGCAGGGGAGACUGGAAUUCCUGGUGUAGCGGUGAAAUGCGCAGAUAUCAGGAGGAACACCGGUGGCGAAGGCGGGUCUCUGGGCCGAUACUGACGCUGGG